GGCUGGUCUGAAGGUAGUGAAUUAUCUCAGUCAAUUGUUCACAGUCAGUUACAGAUUGAGCUCCUUGUUCUACUCUUUCCUUUUUCCCUUCUUCUCACUACUGCACUUGAUAGUCUUAA
ensembl:misc_RNA Y_RNA Y RNA